CAGGCUGCAACUCGCCUGCAUGAAGCUGGAAUUGCUAGUAAUCGCGGAUCAGCAAGCCGCGGUGAAUACGUUCCCGGGCCUUGUACACACCGCCCGUCACACCAUGAGAGUCGGGAACACCCGAAGUCCGUAGUCUAACCGCAAGGGGGGCGCGGCCGAAGGUGGGUCCGAUAAUUGGGGUGAAGUCGUAACAAGGUACC
rnacentral:rRNA from 1 species